rnacentral:tRNA from 1 species
GGAAAUUUAGUUCAGCGGUUAGAACGCCCGGCUCAUAACCGGGAAGCCCUGAGUUCGAAUCCCAGAAUUUCCA